UACGAAGGGGGCGAGCGUUGUUCGGAUUUACUGGGCGUAAAGGGCGCGUAGGCGGCGCGGUAAGUCACUUGUGAAAUCUCUGAGCUUAACUCAGAACGGCCAAGUGAUACUGCAGUGCUAGAGUGUGGAAGGGGCAAUCGGAAUUCUUGGUGUAGCGGUGAAAUGCGUAGAUAUCAAGAGGAACACCUGAGGUGAAGACGGGUUGCUGGGCCAACACUGACGCUGAUGCGCGAAAGCCAGGGGAGCAAACGGG
rnacentral:rRNA from 1 species